UACGUAGGGGGCUAGCGUUAUCCGGAUUUACUGGGCGUAAAGGGUGCGUAGGUGGUUUCUUAAGUCAGGAGUGAAAGGCUACGGCUCAACCGUAGUAAGCUCUUGAAACUGGGAAACUUGAGUGCAGGAGAGGAAAGUGGAAUUCCUAGUGUAGCGGUGAAAUGCGUAGAUAUUAGGAGGAACACCAGUAGCGAAGGCGGCUUUCUGGACUGUAACUGACACUGAGGCACGAAAGCGUGGGGAGCAAACAGGAUUAGAUACCCUGGGUAGUCCACGCCGUAAACGAUGAGUACUAGGUGUCGGGGGGUUACCCCCAUCGGUGCCGCAGCUAACGCAUUAAGUACUCCGCCUGGGGAGUACGCUCGCAAGAGUGAAACUCAA
rnacentral:rRNA from 1 species